GAUGAACGCUGGCGGCGUGCUUAACACAUGCAAGUCGAACGGACUUUUGAUGAAGCCUAGCGAAUCAAAAGUUAGUGGCGGACGGGUGAGUAACGCGUGGGUAACCUGCCUUAUACAGGGGGGAUAACACUUAGAAAUAGGUGCUAAUACCGCAUAAGCGCACAGUUUCGCAUGAGACAGUGUGAAAAAACUCCGGUGGUAUGAGAUGGACCCGCGUUGGAUUAGCUAGUUGGUGAGAUAGAGGCCCACCAAGGCGACGAUCCAUAAGCCGGCCUGAGAGGGUGAACGGCCACAUUGGGACUGAGACACGGCCCAGACUCCUACGGGAGCAGCAGUGGGGAUAUUGGCACAAUGGGGGAAACCCUGAUGCAGCGACGCGCGUGAAGGAGAAGUAUC
rnacentral:rRNA from 1 species